rnacentral:lncRNA from 1 species
UGUUACUCGAUCAUAACAUGUUGAAAAUUCAUAGGUUAUAACAAGUACCCCAUGCACAUGGGUGUGAUGCAGCUGAUGGAUUUUUAAGUGAUUGGUGGGGGCCAGACCCAAAUUCCCCGGAGAAUCUUCUGGAUGAAGAUUAUGAUCCAUCUCCAUCUACAUCCCAACUGACCCACAGGAAAGAUCGCAGGAGAUCAGUUUCAAGAACCAAAGAUACAGUUGUGGUCCCCGAAAAGCAUUCUAAAUUCAAGGUUGGGCAACAUGUUAUACUUACAGAUGA